rnacentral:rRNA from 1 species
AAAGAUGAAAAGAACUUUGAAAAAAGAGUCAAAGAAUGCUUGAAAUUAUCGAGAGGGAAGCGGAUGGGGGUCGGUGAUGUGUCUUGGUUGGAUGUGGAAUGGUGAUGAGCCGGUCCGUUGAUCGACUCAAGGCGUGGACCAGCACAAAUCGAGGCAGUGACCAAAGCCCGAGCAGUCAAAACACCCGCGAAACUUUUCCGAUUGAACUUUUCCAUUUGUACAUUAAUUUUGGACACGUUGUUUCGCACUUGCAUUGUAGUCAAGUCUCAAUUGGAUGGAAAAACUGUUUGAAAUUUAAACUGUCCAACAUGGUAAUGUCAGGUGGUAAAGUGUAAACUAAAGUGUACCCCUUAGUGUACAUGUAGCAAGGUUCUUACCGGUUGAAAU